rnacentral:rRNA from 1 species
GGAUUAAGAGCUUGCUCUUAUGAAGUUAGCGGCGGACGGGUGAGUAACACGUGGGUAACCUGCCCAUAAGACUGGGAUAACUCCGGGAAACCGGGGCUAAUACCGGAUAACAUUUUGAACCGCAUGGUUCGAAAUUGAAAGGCGGCUUCGGCUGUCACUUAUGGAUGGACCCGCGUCGCAUUAGCUAGUUGGUGAGGUAACGGCUCACCAAGGCAACGAUGCGUAGCCGACCUGAGAGGGUGAUCGGCCACACUGGGACUGAGACACGGCCCAGACUCCUACGGGAGGCAGCAGUAGGGAAUCUUCCGCAAUGGACGAAAGUCUGACGGAGCAACGCCGCGUGAGUGAUGAAGGCUUUCGGGUCGUAAAACUCUGUUGUUAGGGAAGAACAAGUGCUAGUUGAAUAAGCUGGCACCUUGACGGUACCUAACCAGAAAGCCACGGCUAACUACGUGCCAGCAGCCGCGGUAAUACGUAGGUGGCAAGCGUUAUCCGGAAUUAUUGGGCGUAAAGCGCGCGCAGGUGGUUUCUUAAGUCUGAUGUGAAAGCCCACGGCUCAACCGUGGAGGGUCAUUGGAAACUGGGAGACUUGAGUGCAGAAGAGGAAAGUGGAAUUCCAUGUGUAGCGGUGAAAUGCGUAGAGAUAUGGAGGAACACCAGUGGCGAAGGCGACUUUCUGGUCUGU